AAAUGGCUGCAGUAUUUUAACUGUACAAAGGUAGCAUAAUCAUUAGUCUUUUAAUUGAAGGCUUGUAUGAAUGGUUGGACGAAAUAUUAACUGUUUCAUUAAAAUUAAUUUAGAAUUUUAUUUUUUAGUUAAAAAGCUAAAAUUUAUUUAAAAGACGAGAAGACCCUAUAGAUCUUUAUAUUUGUUAUAUUAUAAUUAUUUAGAUUAUUUGAGUUAUGAUUAUAUUAGGUAUUUUGUUGGGGUGAUAUUAAAAUUUAAUUAACUUUUAAUUUAUAUUUACAUUAAUUUAUGAAUAUUUGAUCCAUUAAUAAUGAUUAAAAAAUUAAGUUACCUUAGGGAUAACAGCGUAAUUUUUUUGAAGAGUUCAUAUCGAUAAAAAAGAUUGCGACCUCGAUGUUGGAUUAAGAUAUAAUUUUGGGUGCAGAAAUUCAAUUAUUAAGUC
rnacentral:rRNA from 1 species